UUAUCCGGAUUUAUUGGGUUUAAAGGGUGCGUAGGUGGUAAUUUAAGUCAGCGGUGAAAGUUUGUGGCUCAACCAUAAAAUUGCCGUUGAAACUGGGUUACUUGAGUGUUGUUGAGGUAGGCGGAAUGCGUGGUGUAGCGGUGAAAUGCAUAGAUAUCACGCAGAACUCCAAUUGCGAAGGCAGCUUACUAAACCAUAACUGACACUGAAGCACGAAAGCGUGGGUAUCAAACAGGAUUAGAUACCCUGGUAGUCCACGCAGUAAACGAUGAUUACUAGGAGUUUGCGAUACACAGUAAGCUCUACAGCGAAAGCGUUAAGUAAUCCACCUGGGGAGUACGCCGGCAACGGUGAAACUCAAAGGAAUUGACGGGGGCCCGCACAAGCGGAGGAACACGUGGUUUAAUUCGAUGAUACGCGAGGAA
rnacentral:rRNA from 1 species